CGCACACAGGAGCCCCACAAGAACAUGCUCGGCAUAUCUCCAAGGCCUCUGCUUGGUUGAGUGAAGAAGCUGUGGUCACAUGGUCCGCAAAGAAGAAGCUCAGGAAAUAGAAAGAUGCUGUCAGCACCUCUGGGAGGCUCACCAG